GGCCAAAAAACGGGUGGGCUAUAGCCUUGGUGGGGGACGUGGGCGAAGUUCGUCCGCCGGACUCGGAAUGGCCCCAGACUUUGCGGGCGGCCUCCGUGUGCCAAAAAUAGGCCACGGGCACAGCCGCGCCCAAAAAACAGCCCCCGAAGUCCGGGGUCCCAAGACCCCCCAGCGGAAAAAUGGCCAAAAAACGGGUGGGCUAUAGCCUUGGUGGGGGGCGUGGGCGAAGUUCGUCCGCGGGACUCGGAAUGGCACCAGACUUGGCGGGCGGCCUCCGUGUGCCAAAAAUAGGCCACGGGCACAGCCGCGCCCAAAAAACAGCCCCCGAAGGUCGGGGCGCCAAGACCCCCCAGCGGAAAAAUGGCCAAAAAACGGGUGGGCUAUAGCCUUGGUGGGGGGCGUCGGCGAAGUUCGUCCGCCGGACUCGGAAUGGCCCCAGACUUUGCGGGCGGCCUCCGUGUGCCAAAAAUAGGCCACGGGCACACCCGCGCCCAAAAAUCAGCCCCCGAAGGUCGGGGCGCCAAGACCCCCCAGCGGAAAAAUGGCCAAAAAACGGGAGGGCUAUAGCCUUGGUGGGGGGCGUGGGCGAAGUUCGUCCGCCGGACUCGGAAUGGCCCCAGACUUUGCGGGCGGCCUCCGUGUGCCAAAAAUAGGCCACGGGCACACCCGCGCCCAAAAUUCAGCCCCCGAAGGUCGGGGGCCAAGAGCCCCCAGCGGAAAAAUGGCCAAAAAACGGGUGGGCUAUAGCCUUGGUGGGGGACGUGGGCGAAGUUCGUCCGCCGGACUCGGAAUGGCCCCAGACUUUGCGGGCGGCCUCCGUGUGCCAAAAAUAGGCCACGGACACAGCCGCGUCCAAAAAUCAGCCCCCGAAGGUCGGGGUGCCAAGACCCCCCAGCGGAAAAAUGGCCAAAAAACGGGUGGGCUAUAGCCUUGGUGGGGGGCGUGGGCGAAGUUCGUCCGCCGGACUCGGAAUGGCCCGAGACUUUGCGGGCGGCCUCCAUGUGCCAAAAAUAGGCCACGGGCACAGCCGCGCCCAAAAAUCAGCCCCCGAAGGUCGGGGCGCCAAGACCCCCCAGCGGAAAAAUGGCCAAAAAACGGGUGGGCUAUAGCCUUGGUGGGGGGCGUGGGCGAAGUUCGUCCGCCGGACUCGGAAUGGCCCCAGACUUUGCGGGCGGCCUCCGUGUGCCAAAAAUAGGCCACGGGCACACCCGCGCCCAAAAAUCAGCCCCCAAAGGUCGGGGCGCCAAGACCCCCCAGCGGAAAAAUGGCCAAAAAACGGGUGGGCUAUAGCCUUGGUGGGGGGCGUGGGCGAAGUUCGUCCGCCGGACUCGGAAUGGCCCCAGACUUUGCGGGCGGCCUCCGUGUGCCAAAAAUAGGCCACGGACACACCCGCGCCCAAAAUUAAGCCCCCGAAGGUCGGGGCGCCAAGACCUCACAGCGGAAAAAUGGCCAAAAAACGGGUGGGCUAUAGCCUUGGUGGGGGGCGUGGGCGAAGUUCGUCCGCCGGACUCGGAAUGGCCCCAGACUUUGCGGGCGGCCUCCGUGUGCCAAAAAUAGGCCACGGGCACACCCGCGCCCAAAAAUCAGCCCCCGAAGGUCGGGGCGCCAAGACCCCCCAGCGGAAAAAUGGCCAAAAAACGGGUGGGCUAUAGCCUUGGUGGGGGGCGUGGGCGAAGUUCGUCCGCCGGACUCGGAAUGGCCCCAGACUUUGCGGGCUGCCUCCGUGUGUCAAAAAUAGGCCACGGGCACACCCGCGCCCAAAAUUCAGCCCCCGAAGGUCGGGGCGCCAAGACCCCCCAGCGGAAAAAUGGCCAAAAAACGGGUGGGCUAUAGCCUUGGUGGGGGGCGUGGGCGAAGUUCGUCCGCCGGACUCGGAAUGGCCCCAGACUUUGCGGGCUGCCUCCGUGUGCCAAAAAUAGGCCACGGGCACACCCGCGCCCAAAAUUCAGCCCCCGAAGGUCGGGGCGCCAAGACCCCCCAGCGGAAAAAUGGCCAAAAAUCGGGUGGGCUAUAGCCUUGGUGGGGGGCGUGGGCGAAGUUCGUCCGCCGGACUCGGAAUGGCCCCAGACUUUGCGGGCGGCCUCCGUGUGCCAAAAAUAGGCCACGGGCACACCCGCGCCCAAAAAUCAGCCCCCGAAGGUCGGGGCGCCAAGACCCCCCAGCGGAAAAAUGGCCAAAAAACGGGUGGGCUAUAGCCUUGGUGGGGGGCGUGGGCGAAGUUCGUCCGCCGGACUCGGAAUGGCCCCAGACUUUGCGGGCGGCCUCCGUGUGCCAAAAAUAGGCCACGGGCACACCCGCGCCCAAAAUUCAGCCCCCGAAGGUCGGGGCGCCAAGACCCCCCAGCGGAAAAAUGGCCAAAAAACGGGUGGGCUAUAGCCUUGGUGGGGGGCGUGGGCGAAGCUCGUCCGCCGGACUCGGAAUGGCCCCAGACUUUGCGGGCGGCCUCCGUGUGCCAAAAAUAGG
rnacentral:lncRNA from 1 species